UACGAGGGGGGCGAGCGUUGUUCGGAAUUAUUGGGCGUAAAGGGUGCGUAGGCGGUUCCGCAAGUCCUGUGUGAAAUCUUCGGGCUCAACUCGAAGUCUGCACGGGAAACUGCGGGGCUUGAGUGGUGGGAGAGGUGAGUGGAAUUCCCGGUGUAGCGGUGAAAUGCGUAGAUAUCAGGAGGAACACCGGUGGCGAAGGCGGUUCUCUGGGCAUGUCCUGACGCUGAGGAGCGAAAGUGUGGGGAGCGAACAGG
rnacentral:rRNA from 1 species